CUUCUAGAAAGAAUAGGAGCAUAAAACAUCCAAGAACAGACAUCUCCAAUUGUUUCAUUGUUCUGCAGCCAACCCAGGGAGAAAAACUAGCAGUCCUGUCUGCAGGACUUUUGAAUUUAUUUUGAAUUUAUUUUGAAUUCGGUUGCCACAUGAGCAGGUGGUUCAUGUCAUGAAGUGGCACUUCUGCAAAGCCUUGAGAUUUCAUUCUGAAACAUAGAGUGUGAGCAGCAAUAUGAUCAUAUAGGGGUGAGUAUAAAAUCUGGUGAGGGAUGGGUGGGGUCCCGCAACUUCACCUGCAAUAAAAAUGAAGACAGGUGACACAGAAAGUGCUUUCAACCUUAUCCCUGCAUUCUCUUAAUUGCACAAGCAGUCAACACCAUGGUUCGGUGUUAAGGCAGGAGUACUCCAACCUGCAAGGAAUAUUUGGAGUGCAAAUUGGGGCCACCCUGGACAACUCCCAAUUUGAGGACUUUCAUACCCAGAGCCAAAUGAAACUGAAAUCUAUUGAUGCUGAGUGGGAUGUGGCCUAUACACUUGCCUCUACUUUUACUGACUUUCUUGUUUCUCAUCGGCCUAGUGUUUCCUGGGAUUGGCUCAUCGACCUCUACACUAAAUGUUUCCAAGGUCAUGGAGAACGACCCCAGUGGGAAUCCAUUGAGUGAGUGUUUCCUUCUAAACACUGUCAUGUUUUAAUGACUGGGCAGCUUUGAUAAUUUUAAAACCAAGAAUUCCCAUUACAGCCACCAAUAAGAAAACUCUUGUUCUCUCACUUCUAUCAGAGGGCUGCAUGAAUCUGUUAGAAUGAGAAGCACUUAGCUGUGUCUGGCUUUUGCCUGAUAAUCUAGCCUCUGUUUCAUUUCAUCUGCACAGCCUUCUCUUUGUGGAGGGGAUCUUUUAUUGGCUUGUUCCUGGAUGGGACUGACUUUGACCAAAUAUUAUCAAGGUGACAGUGACUUCAGAGAGCUGAAGGGACUUCAGGAGACGUUGGUUUCUCUGGCAGGAACAUUUGAACGUUGCUUGGACUCCUGCACAAGCCAGCUCAUUCACUCUGAGAGCACCAGAGAUAUCCAGGAUAAAGGGAGGCAGUGAAGUCAAGGGCCUGGUCGUCUUUUGCAGACACCCACCUCUGGGGUCUCAGAGAGCCCCUGUGAGGCCCAGGAAGAAGGGAGGCAGUGAGGUCAAGAGCCUGGCAAUCUUUCAUUGACACCCUCGUCUGGGGUCUCAGCGACAAUUUCCUGCGGCUUGGCAGAGAAAGAGACCUCUGUGGAGGUGCGUCAGUGGUGGACUCUCACCUGUUGGAUGCAGGGGAUAGUCCCAUCAUCCUAGGUGAGCGCAGACGUGAGCCAGCCUGAAGAAACGGCAGCCAUAGCCUCAGGAAUAAACCGCAAUAUCCCUAAUGAUCCAAAAAGAUCUGCAGGAUUUCUCAGGCCUGCCUACACAUCGUAGCGCCCUUGCCAGAACGGUGGUGCAGUGAUGUAUUACCUGCCAACAGCACAAUGUGAGGCAGGGUCCAGCCGUUCUGCCCAGCAUACAACUUGAGGGAGCAGCCCCUUUUGAAGACCUCCAGGUGGACUUCACAGGAAUGCCAAAGUGUGGAGUGAUCAUGUGUGGAUCAAGGACUGGAAUGUAGCCCACCCACAACUACGGUGGGAAGGACCCCAGACCAUCAUUUUGACGACUCUCACAGCAUGAAAAUAGAAGGAUUCCCAGCCUGGAUCAAUCACAGUCAUGUAUCAUCUACAUUGUCUGAGACCUGAGAGGUGAGACUGAGCCUGGUGGACCCCUGCAAAGUGACAUUGAGAAAGAUGGCAAGCCCUGCUACAGUCACAACCAGAAGCUUACUGUUGUAUGCAUGGCAAAAGAAUGAGGAUACUCAUCAUGGGAUUUAUUCUCCUUAAAAUUUGUACU
ensembl:lncRNA LINC00279 long intergenic non-protein coding RNA 279